rnacentral:rRNA from 1 species
UGGGGAAUUUUGGACAAUGGGCGAAAGCCUGAUCCAGCAAUGCCGCGUGUGUGAAGAAGGCCUUCGGGUUGUAAAGCACUUUUGUCCGGAAAGAAAUCCUUGGCUCUAAUACAGUCGGGGGAUGACGGUACCGGAAGAAUAAGCACCGGCUAACUACGUGCCAGCAGCCGCGGUAAUACGUAGGGUGCAAGCGUUAAUCGGAAUUACUGGGCGUAAAGCGUGCGCAGGCGGUUUGCUAAGACCGAUGUGAAAUCCCCGGGCUCAACCUGGGAACUGCAUUGGUGACUGGCAGGCUAGAGUAUGGCAGAGGGGGGUAGAAUUCCACGUGUAGCAGUGAAAUGCGUAGAGAUGUGGAGGAAUACCGAUGGCGAAGGCAGCCCCCUGGGCCAAAUACUGACGCUCAUGCACGAAAGCGUGGGGAGCAAACAGGAUUAGAUACCCUGGUAGUCCACGCCCUAAAACGAUGUCAACUAGUUGUUGGGGAUUCAUUUCCUUAGUAACGUAGCUAACGCGUGAAGUUGACCGCCUGGGGAGUACGGUCGCAAGAUUAAAACUUAAAGGAAUUGACGGGGUCAUAGCUGUUUCCU